CCCUUAGAUGUUCUGGGCCGCACGCGCGUUACACUGAUGCAUUCAACGAGCUUAUAACCUUGGCCGAGAGGCCUGGGCAAUCUUGUUAACGUGCAUCGUGAUGGGGAUAGAUUAUUGAAAUUAUUAAUCUUGAACGAGGAAUUCCUAGUAAACGCAGAUCAUCAAUCUGCAUUGAUUACGUCCCUGCCCUUUGUACACACCGCCCGUCGCACCUACCGAUUGGAUGGUCCGGUGAAGCCUCGGGAUUGUGGUUCUUGCCGCUUUAUUGUGGCGUGACCGCGAGAACUUGUCUAAACCUUAUCAUCUAGAGGAAGGUGAAGUCGUAACA
rnacentral:rRNA from 1 species